UGAGUGUCAUAUAUUGGAAUAAGUUUAAUCUAUAAAUGAAAGUGCAAGCACUCCACCUUAAGAGUAAUGUGGCAACACCGAAAUUGAAAUCAUUAGACCGUUUCUGAAACCAGUAGUGAAGUAUGUUGUUUAAUUUGAUGACCCGCAAAAAACCUUACCACAACUUGAAUAUUUAUAGUUAGCUAUAUUUACAAGCGUUGCACGGCUGUCUUAAGUUAAUGUCGUGAGACUUUGGUUAGAUCCAUUAAAUUGACGUAAACCCUCGUUCUACUUUUAUGUAAAACGGUUCACCGCUAUAUUGGAUGUGAUAACAGGGAACAAGACAAGUCAUCAUGGCCUGAAUGUUGUGGGCUAUAGACGUGCC
rnacentral:rRNA from 1 species